rnacentral:SRP_RNA from 1 species
UCGUGCUAGACGGGGAGCUAGCGGUGCCCUGUACCCGCAACCCGCUAUAGCGGGGUCGAAUUCCCUCUCGCGGGGUGGAUCUGGGCAGGACUGUUCGGCCAAGCGGUGUUGAGGAUUGGGUCCUGCGCGGCGGAGGCCCGUGAAUCCCGUCAGGUCCGGAAGGAAGCAGCGGUAAGCGGUUCCCUCUGGGUGACGCAGGGAAGCCUGGUCUGAGCAGGCUAGUCUGAACAAGCUGUCGAGACCGCAACAACAGAGGGUGCACGA